UACGAAGGGGGCUAGCGUUGCUCGGAAUCACUGGGCGUAAAGGGUGCGUAGGCGGGUCUUUAAGUCAGGGGUGAAAUCCUGGAGCUCAACUCCAGAACUGCCUUUGAUACUGGCGAUCUUGAGUCCGGGAGAGGUGAGUGGAACUGCGAGCGUAGAGGUGAAAUUCGUAGAUAUUCGCAAGAACACCAGUGGCGAAGGCGGCUCACUGGCCCGGUACUGACGCUGAGGUGCGAAAGCGUGGGGAGCAAACAGG
rnacentral:rRNA from 1 species